AAUCUGUAUCUUGGAUCAGUUAUGGUAGAGUUCAGUUCUGUAUGAUUCACUUCCCAGGCAUGCAGCCUCCUCUGCAAGGGGUUUGCGAGUUGGGGAAUGCAUCUCACUUCAUGAUGUCACUGACAGACACGUCUGGUAAGAAUAAAGUGCACCUUAGCUCACUUUGUGAUCCUGCUCAUGGGGUGUUGGUCUAGAUGUUCCACACUUGUUCACAUGGCCACGGGCACCCAGACCCUGUGCUUUGUGGUCCUGUGUGUCCUGGUAGCAGAGCACACAAAUGCUGGUGUCAUUCAGACACCCAGGCAUGAGGUAACAAAAAGGGGACAAGCAGUAACUUUGAAAUGUGAGCCAGUCUUGGGCCACAAUGACCUUUAUUGGUACAGACAAACUAUGGUGCAGAGCCUGGAACUGCUGACUUCCUUCCGAAGCCAGUCUCUUCUGAAUGAAGGGGGAAUGCCCAAGGAUCGCUUCACAGCUCAGAUGCCUGAUGCAUCGCUCUCCACCCUGAAGAUCCAGCCCGUGGAACCCAGCGACUCAGCUGUGUAUCUCUGUGCCAGCAGUUCAGCCACAGUGCUGUGGAACUAUGCCCAGCCAGUGCAGAAACCCUGGGGUGGCCCCUUCUCUCUCCAGCCCCUCAGCCCUCAGGACAGUUGUCCCUGCUCCCCAUCCCCAUGUACCACAUGGGGGUCGGGGGCAGGACAAAGUUAG